rnacentral:lncRNA from 1 species
CCAACCAACCAACCACUACCCCACAAAUUAAAGGAGAUUUCCUUAUAACGUAAAUAACCUGGUGUCAUCUCCCCACCAGUUCUGAGGGGAUGAAGGCAGAUGAGGAGGGGAGGAAGACCCAGCAACAGCAGGUUUGUGCAUGAGGACUGAGCCCAUGGAAGCCUGACGGUACUGGAAUCAUCUGGGCUGGAGUUAUAGUAGGCUGUGAACCAUCAUAUACAGGCGCAGAGAACUGAAUUUGGGCACCCUGCAAAGAGCAUCAAGUGCUUUUAACCACCAAGCCAUCUCCAGUCCCACAGUCUCC